UUGAAGAGUUUGAUCAUGGCUCAGAUUGAACGCUGGCGGCAGGCCUAACACAUGCAAGUCGAACGGUAACAUUUCUAGCUUGCUAGAAGAUGACGAGUGGCGGACGGGUGAGUAAUGCUUGGGAACUUGCCUUUGCGAGGGGGAUAACAGUUGGAAACGACUGCUAAUACCGCAUAAUGUCUACGGACCAAACGGGGCUUAGGCUCCGGCGCAAAGAGAGGCCCAAGUGAGAUUAGCUAGUUGGUAAGGUAAUGGCUUACCAAGGCAACGAUCUCUAGCUGUUCUGAGAGGAAGAUCAGCCACACUGGAACUGAGACACGGUCCAGACUCCUACGGGAGGCAGCAGUGGGGAAUAUUGCACAAUGGGGGAAACCCUGAUGCAGCCAUGCCGCGUGUGUGAAGAAGGCCUUCGGGUUGUAAAGCACUUUCAGUUGUGAGGAAAAGUUAGUAGUUAAUACCUGCUAGCCGUGACGUUAACAACAGAAGAAGCACCGGCUAACUCCGUGCCAGCAGCCGCGGUAAUACGGAGGGUGCGAGCGUUAAUCGGAAUUACUGGGCGUAAAGCGCACGCAGGCGGUUUGUUAAGCUAGAUGUGAAAGCCCCGGGCUCAACCUGGGAUAGUCAUUUAGAACUGGCAGACUAGAGUCUUGGAGAGGGGAGUGGAAUUCCAGGUGUAGCGGUGAAAUGCGUAGAUAUCUGGAGGAACAUCAGUGGCGAAGGCGACUCCCUGGCCAAAGACUGACGCUCAUGUGCGAAAGUGUGGGUAGCGAACAGGAUUAGAUACCCUGGUAGUCCACACCGUAAACGCUGUCUACUAGCUGUUUGUGACUUUAAGUCGUGAGUAGCGAAGCUAACGCGCUAAGUAGACCGCCUGGGGAGUACGGCCGCAAGGUUAAAACUCAAAUGAAUUGACGGGGGCCCGCACAAGCGGUGGAGCAUGUGGUUUAAUUCGAUGCAACGCGAAGAACCUUACCUACACUUGACAUGCUGAGAACUUUCUAGAGAUAGAUUGGUGCCUUCGGGAACUCAGACACAGGUGCUGCAUGGCUGUCGUCAGCUCGUGUCGUGAGAUGUUGGGUUAAGUCCCGCAACGAGCGCAACCCUUGUCCUUAGUUGCCAGCCUUAAGUUGGGCACUCUAAGGAGACU
rnacentral:rRNA from 1 species